rnacentral:rRNA from 1 species
AGUGAACGCUGGCGGUAGGCCUAACACAUGCAAGUCGAACGGCAGCACAGACCGAGCUGGCUCUUCUAGCAGGCGAGUGGAGGACGGGCGCGGAAACAAUCGGUCUCUACCUUUACGAGCGGGAUAACGACGGGAAACCUACGCAAAUACCGCAUACGACCAUCGGCUGGAAGCAGGGGAUCUUCGGACCUUGCGCGAUCGAAUGAGCCGAUGUCGGAUUAGCCAGUUGGCGGGGGAACGGCCUACCAAGGCGACGAUCCGUAGCUGGUCUGAGAGGAUGAUUAGCCACUCUGGAGCUGACACACGCUCCAGACUCCUACGGGAGGCAGCAGUGGGAAAUGUUGCACAAGCGUCGCAAGCCUGAUCCAGCCACGCCGCGUGGGCUAAGAAGGCCUUCGGGUUGUACAGCCCUUUUGUUCGGACAGAACAGCAGCAGCUUAAUUCCCCGCUGUUCUGACGGUCCCCAAAGAAUGAGCACCGACUAUCUUCUU